AGAAAAGAGAACACAGAACAAUUGUUCUCAAUUUUUAUUAUCCAUUUUGUUUUGUUUUCUUGCUUCUUUGUUUUAAUGCUGUUUUGU
rnacentral:ribozyme from 13 species